rnacentral:rRNA from 1 species
GUGGGGAAUAUUGGACAAUGGGCGAAAGCCUGAUCCAGCAAUGCCGCGUGUGUGAAGAAGGUCUUAGGAUUGUAAAGCACUUUCGGCGGGGACGAUGAUGACGGUACCCGCAGAAGAAGCCCCGGCUAACUUCGUGCCAGCAGCCGCGGUAAUACGAAGGGGGCUAGCGUUGCUCGGAAUGACUGGGCGUAAAGGGCGCGUAGGCGGUCUGGUCAGUCAGGCGUGAAAUUCCUGGGCUCAACCUGGGGACGGCGCUUGAGACGGCUGGGCUUGAGUGGGGAAGAGGGUCGUGGAAUUCCCAGUGUAGAGGUGAAAUUCGUAGAUAUUGGGAAGAACACCGGUGGCGAAGGCGGCGACCUGGUCCUUGACUGACGCUGAGGCGCGAAAGCGUGGGGAGCAAACAGG